rnacentral:lncRNA from 1 species
GGGCCGCCGGCGGGGGGCCUCGUCCCCGCUGCCGCCGCCGCCAUCGUCGGAGGAGGAGGAGGAGGAGGAGGGCGGCGGCGGGGAGCGGCGGCGGCGGCGCCCGGGCUCGCGCUCCAGGGGGGCCAUGAGGGGCGCCCCCGGGUGGCGCCGGGUGCUGCGGGGGGCCGGGGGGGGCGAGGCGCUGCUGUCGGGGGACGCCCGCUUCGGGGGGCGCCCGCGCCGCCGUUUCCCGGGGCUGGCCGGGGCGGCGGACGCCGAACCGGCGCCGGUGCCGCCGCCGCCGCGCGCCGGCCGCCCCCGCCGCCGCUUGCCAGGGGGGGAGUGGCGGCGUCGGGGCCCCCCCCGCCGCUUUGGGGGGCGUCCGCGGCGGCGCUUGGGGGGCGCGGGGCUGCCGGCGGGGCUGGCGGCGGGCGCCGCGUCGGCGUCGUGGCGGCGGCGGCGGGGCCGUCCCGGCGCGGGCGCCUCGAGGACGGUGACCAGGCGGCCCGGCAGCUGCCGCAGCACUUUGGCGGCCGGCCCCGGCGCGCGGCUCUGCCGGAUCUCCACGUCCGCGCUGCGGCGCCGCCGGGGGCCCCGCGAGGGGAGGCGGGGGGGGGCCGGCGUCACGCUCGGCGCCUCCGACGGCACCGGGGAGGCCGCGGGAGGGGUCGGCGGCGCCGGGGGAGGCGAGGCCGCGCCGGAGGCCGCCGGUGCCGGUGCUGGCGGCGGCGGCGGCGAUGCCGCGCCGGACGGCGCCGCGUUCGCCGGGUUGGGUGCCGGGGAGGGCGGUAGAGUCACCGGGGUGGGGGCGGGUGCCGGCGGCGAUGUCACCGGCGUGGCGUGGGACGUCACUGGCGCCGCCGGUGGCGUCGCCGGCGUGGCGUCGGGCGGCGCCGGCGGUGGGGGCGGUUGCGGCGGUGCUGGGGCCGGGGGCGUCGGCGGCGUCGCCGGCGGCGCUUUGGUGGUCGCCGGGGCCGGUUGUGCCGCCACCGGUGUCGCUUGCGCCGUCACCGGGGCCGCUUGCGACGUCACCGGUGUCACUUGCGACGUCACCGGUGCCGGUGGGGACGUCACCGGCGCCGGCUGCGACGUCACCGGGGUGGCAGGGGGCAGCGGCAGGGCCGCGGGCGGCGGCGCCGCGGGGACUUGCGUCAUCAGCAGCACCGCCGGCGUCGGCGAUGACGUCACCGGCGCGGCGUGUGAUGGCGGCGGGGCGGCCGGCGGCGUGGCCGGCGCCGCUCUCGCCGUGGCCGGCGUCCCGGCAGGCGCCCGGGGGGACGUCCCGGCCCCCCGCGGCGACGUGGGCGGCGUCCUCGGCGACGUCGGCGUGGCGCGCGGUGACAGCGGCGCCCGCGGCGCCGCCGGGGCCGGUCGCGGCGCCGGCGGUGGCGGCGGCGUCGCCGUCGCGGCCGCCCGCAGGCGCUGGCUGGCGCGGGUGCCGGUGCGC